rnacentral:tRNA from 2 species
GGGGGUGUAGCUCAGUUGGGAGAGCACCUGCUUUGCACGCAGGGGGUCAGGAGUUCGAAUCUCCUCAUCUCCACCA